AUGGAGCAGAUGACUGAUGCUCGUGCUCUGCUUUGGGGCUUUUGUCGCUCUUCUCUAAAAUUACUACCCCUUCUUAUCUUCAGGUUCUUGAUUGGAUUACGUAUUUUGCGCACUUUGUUGGUGCCAUCUUCCUUGAGGCGAGAGUUGAUAAUGACAUAUUGCCUUGAACGUCCUACAAGGAAGUUGCUCCUGAUGCCUGUAAAACCUUUUGAACCUAAUAAAUCAUGCUAUGUAUGCUCUGAGGUAUUUUUGCAUUGUCUUAAGAUAUCUUGUUCUUAUAUUUUGCUCCUCUCAUUUGUAUCUAACAUGACACUGAAACUGAAUGCAUCAGACCCCUCUUCUGCUGGAUGUUAG
rnacentral:rRNA from 1 species